rnacentral:rRNA from 1 species
GACGAACGCUGGCGGCGUGCUUAACACAUGCAAGUCGAACGGAAAGGCCCUGCUUUUGUGGGGUGCUCGAGUGGCGAACGGGUGAGUAACACGUGAGUAACCUGCCCUUGACUUUGGGAUAACUUCAGGAAACUGGGGCUAAUACCGGAUAGGAGCUCCUGCUGCAUGGUGGGGGUUGGAAAGUUUCGGCGGUUGGGGAUGGACUCGCGGCUUAUCAGCUUGUUGGUGGGGUAGUGGCUUACCAAGGCUUUGACGGGUAGCCGGCCUGAGAGGGUGACCGGCGACAUUGGGACGGAGAGAGGGACCAGAGGCGAAGGGGAGGCAGCGGGGGGGAGUAGUGCAGAAUGGGCGGGGGGCUGAUGCGGCAACGCCGCGUGCGGGAUGGGGGCCUUCGGGUGGGAAACCGAUGUCGCCGGUGAAGAAGCGGGAGGGACGGUAAUGGGUAAAGAAGCACCGGCUAACUACGUG